AGUGUGAUUGUUGGGUCAUAUGGAAAGUGUGUGUUUAACUUUUGAAGAAAUUGUCAGAUUGUUAUCCAAAGUGACUGUACCAUUUUACAUUUCCGCUAGCAAU
rnacentral:pre_miRNA from 1 species